AAUUCGAUUGAGUUUGAUCAUGGCUCAGAAUCAACGCUGGCGGCGUGCCUCAGACAUGCAAGUCGAACGCGAAAGUCCCCUUCGGGGGGCAAGUAGAGUGGCGCACGGGUGAGUAACACGUAGGUAAUCUACCUUCGGAUGGGGAAUAACAAUCGGAAACGGUUGCUAAUACCGCAUAAUGCAGCGGCACCUAAUGGUGACAGUUGUUAAAGCGGGGGGAUCGAAAGACCUCGCGUCUGAAGAGGAGCCUGCGGCGGAUUAGCUAGUUGGUAAGGUAAUGGCUUACCAAGGCAACGAUCCGUAACCGGCCUGAGAGGGCGGUCGGUCACACUGACACUGACAUACGGGUCAGACUCCUACGGGAGGCAGCAGUCGGGAAUUUUGGGCAAUGGGCGAAAGCCUGACCCAGCAACGCCGCGUGAAGGAUGAAAUCCCUCGGGAUGUAAACUUCGCAAGAACGGGAAGAAUAAGUAGGGGACAAUACCCCCUAUGAUGACGGUACCGUUUGUAAGCUCCGGCUAACUCCGUGCCAGCAGCCGCGGUAAUACGGGGGGAGCAAGCGUUGUUCGGAUUUACUGGGCGUAAAGGGCGCGUAGGCGGCCAGCACAAGUCAGUUGUGAAAUCUCCGAGCUUAACUCGGAAAGGUCAACUGAUACUGUGCGGCUAGAGUGCGGAAGGGGCAACUGGAAUUCUU
rnacentral:rRNA from 1 species